UUCAUUUUUUUUAAUGUAAAUGUUUUUAAGUAUUUGUAGGAUAAAGGCAAAUUACACUUAUUCAUUCUUUCUUUGAUAUAAUACAUGUAGCUCUUUACCUGAAAUCAAUGUUUGUCAAAUUAUUGUGCAUAAAUUAGAAGUAUGCAUGUUUCUCUUAAGUCAGUUAUGUUUCAGGAACUAUCUUUAAUGAAUUGUAUAGAAAAUUGUGGACGAGGUGUUAGGUGUACAGGAACGUGGUAUAUUAUAAACAUGUAUAGUAUCUCAUAGUAUAUAAACUCAUAACUUUGAUUAUGCAGUAUGCUUUGUAUAUUAUUUCUGAAAGCAUGUAUAUUUCAAUCAAGAUUGUUGAGUAAACUUUUCUUGCUUUAUGCUAUCUCUGAAAGCAUGUAUAUUUCAGUCAAGAUUGUUGAGUAAAUUGUGCUUAUUUUAUGCUUUUUUCUUUUUUACAUUAGAAAAUUCCACACCUUUAUCACGAGGAAAUCUGCAAUGGCAUUUAGGAAUGACAAAUAGAAGCUCAACUAUUCGAAGCAGGAGACCGAAGAGAAAAAAGGAAGAGAGAUGAUAUUACAGCUGCAGAAAAGGAAAUAAUUGAAACGCAGAAGAAUAUAUUAAUGUACUGUGUGAAAUAUGUGACUUGUAUAAGCAAUCAGUUGCAAAUCAGUCUGCUGUCAUAGAAAAUCAAAAUAUAAUUAUUAAUUUAUUAAAAAAAUAAAUCAUGCAUUUCAAAUAUUA